rnacentral:rRNA from 1 species
UACGAAGGGGGCUAGCGUUGCUCGGAAUUACUGGGCGUAAAGGGCGCGUAGGCGGAUAGUUUAGUCAGAGGUGAAAGCCCAGGGCUCAACCUUGGAAUUGCCUUUGAUACUGGCUAUCUUGAGUUCGGGAGAGGUGAGUGGAAUGCCGAGUGUAGAGGUGAAAUUCGUAGAUAUUCGGCGGAACACCAGUGGCGAAGGCGACUCACUGGCCCGGUACUGACGCUGAGGCACGAAAGCGUGGGGAGCAAACAGG